GACGAACGCUGGCGGCGUGCUUAACACAUGCAAGUCGAACGGAAAGGCCUGCUUUCCCUUGUGGAUUGCGGGUACUCGAGUGGCGAACGGGUGAGUAACACGUGAGUGAUCUGCCCCCAACUUGGGUAUAAGCCUGGGAAACUGGGUCUAAUUCCCGAUAGGACUGCAGGGUGGUGCCUGUGGUGGAAAACGAUUUUCUAGUGGUUGGGGAUGAGCUCGCGGCCUAUCAGCUUGUUGGUGGGGUAAUGGCCUACCAAGGCGGCGACGGGUAGCCGGCCUGAGAGGGUGGACGGCCACAGUGGGACUGAGAUACGGCGCAGACUCCUACGGGAGGCAGCAGUGGGGAAUAUUGCACAAUGGGCGGAAGCCUGAUGCAGCGACGCCGAGUGGGGGAUGACGGCCUUCGGGUUGUAAACUCCUUUCGACCGCGAGGAAGCCACCUGGUUGGAAGGGUGGUGACGGUAGUGGUAGAAGAAGCACCGGCUAACUACGUG
rnacentral:rRNA from 1 species